rnacentral:rRNA from 1 species
GACGAACGCUGGCGGCGUGCCUAAUACAUGCAAGUAGAACGCAGUUGCGAACGGGUGAGUAACGCGUAGGUAACUGCCUCAUAGCGGGGGAUAACUAUUGGAAACGUUAGCUAAUACCGCAUCCUGUGAUAUGGACCUGCGUUGUCUUAGCUAGUUGGUGAGGUAAAGGCCCACCAAGGCGACGAUACAUAGCCGACCUGAGAGGGUGAUCGGCCAAACUGGGACGGAGGCACGGCCCAGAAUCCUACGGGAGGCAGCAGGAGGGAAUUUUUGGAAAUGGACGGAAGGCUGACCGAGCAACGCCGCGUGAGUGAAGAAGGUUUUCGGAUCGGAAAGCUCUGUUGGUAGAGAAGCGGUAACUAAACAGAAAGGGACGGCUAACUACGUGCCAGCAGCCGCGGUAAUAC